UACGGGGGGAGCAAGCGUUGUUCGGAUUCACUGGGCGUAAAGGGUGCGUAGGCGGCCGGGUAAGUCUGAUGUGAAAUCUCACAGCUUAACUGUGAAACUGCAUUGGAUACUAUCCGGCUCGAGGAAUGGAGGGGAGACUGGAAUACUUGGUGUAGCAGUGAAAUGCGUAGAUAUCAAGUGGAACACCAGUGGCGAAGGCGAGUCUCUGGACAUUUCCUGACGCUGAGGCACGAAAGCCAGGGGAGCAAACGGG
rnacentral:rRNA from 1 species